CGGCCAAUAGGCAAGAGACUUCUUGUUUCCUGGCAGAGUGGGGUCCCGGCACCACGGCUCUCUGGUUUUGUGUGGGGCCCGGGUGGAGGGCCCGGGUGCCGGGGCCCGAGGUGCCGCCUCGCUAGCGGGAGAGGGAGCGGGAGCGAGAGCAGCGGCCCGGAGAGAGGUGAGGGGCUCUGCGUGGAGUGCGGCCCGCCGGCAGGCCCCGCCCCCUUCUCAGCCCGCUCCGCCGGAGCGCCCGUCGAAUGCCACCCCGCCCCCCCGACCUGCCGCGGCCCGCCGACCCCGCCUCCGGUUGACUCCCUCCGCUGCUUUGGCCUCACCUCUGACCCCUAGGACGGGCCUUCCCGUCCUCCAGUGUGUCUGCCUCGACCCCUCCCACGCCUCCAAACCCCACCCCAGCCUGGACAAGCCAGGCAGUGCGAGCGAGGGUCCUCGCGAACCGAGGAGCUGCCUGCUGCUUCCGAGCGGGACUCUACUGGCCCAGCCUUCCUAGGGGUGCUUAGGACGCCCGCCCGUUACCCACACCUUCGAGGGUAGCUUUUGCACGGGCUCGUGUCUACAGGGCGGGAGGAUGGAAACACACCCUAAUUGGAACUGAGGUUCAGGGCAGCUCUCAGGGCCUGUGUGGGGCAAGAGGAUGCUUUCCCAGUCCCACCAUGGAGCUGCGCUGUGGGGGAUUGCUGUUCAGUUCUCGCUUUGAUUCAGGGAACCUAGCCCAUGUCGAAAAAGUGGAGACUGUGCCUAGUGACGGGGAAGGCAUAGGAGGGGUGGCAACAGCCCCCACUAGUGGUUCUGCUUCUUCCCCUGACUACGAGUUCAAUGUGUGGACCCGGCCAGACUGUGCUGAAACAGAAUAUGAGAACGGGAACAGGUCAUGGUUCUACUUCAGUGUCCGGGGAGGAGCUCCAGGAAAGCUUAUCAAGAUCAACAUCAUGAACAUGAACAAGCAAAGCAAACUAUAUUCUCAGGGCAUGGCCCCCUUUGUGCGCACAUUGCCUUCCCGGCCACGCUGGGAACGCAUUAGAGAGCGGCCCACUUUUGAGAUGACAGAGACACAAUUUGUGCUAUCCUUUGUUCACCGUUUCGUAGAGGGCCGGGGAGCCACCACCUUCUUCGCCUUCUGCUACCCCUUCUCCUACAGUGACUGCCAGGAUUUGCUAAGCCAGCUAGACCAGCGCUUUCCAGAGAAUUACUCUACCCAUAGCAGUCCUCUGGAUAGCAUUUAUUACCACCGAGAGCUUCUCUGCUAUUCUCUGGAUGGACUUCGGGUAGAUCUACUAACAAUCACUUCCUGCCAUGGGCUUCGAGAUGAUCGGGAGCCCCGUCUAGAGCAGCUGUUUCCUGACCUCGGCACUCCCCGACCAUUCCGUUUCACAGGCAAAAGGAUAUUCUUCUUAAGCAGUAGGGUACACCCUGGAGAGACUCCAUCUAGCUUUGUGUUCAAUGGCUUUCUGGACUUCAUCCUUCGACCUGAUGACCCCCGGGCACAAACGCUCCGUCGCCUCUUUGUUUUUAAGUUGAUUCCCAUGUUAAACCCUGAUGGUGUGGUCCGGGGCCACUACCGCACAGACUCCCGUGGAGUGAAUCUGAACCGUCAGUACUUGAAGCCCGACGCCGUCCUGCACCCGGCCAUCUUUGGCGCCAAAGCUGUGCUGCUUUACCAUCAUGUGCACUCUCGGCUCAACUCCAAGAGUCCCUCGAACCAGCAGCCCACUCUUCCCUUUCCUCCAGAGGCUCCUCUUUCUGACCUCGAGAAAGCCAAUAAUCUCCACAAUGAAGCUCACCUCGGGCAGUCACCUGAUGGGGAGAACCCUGAGACUUGGACUGAGACAGAGCCAGUAGAAGAGAAGACUGACCCGGUGUGGAUUAUGUCACAGCCGAUUGCUGAACUUGAGGAGCCAGCUCCUGACACCAUCCCCCCAAAAGAGAGUGGUGUUGCUUACUAUGUAGACUUGCAUGGACAUGCUUCCAAAAGGGGCUGCUUCAUGUAUGGAAACAGCUUUAGUGAUGAGAGCACCCAGGUGGAAAACAUGCUAUAUCCAAAGCUCAUCUCCUUGAAUUCAGCCCACUUUGACUUCCAGGGCUGCAAUUUCUCAGAGAAGAACAUGUAUGCCCGAGACCGUAGAGAUGGCCAGUCCAAAGAGGGAAGUGGCCGCGUCGCAAUCUACAAAGCCUCAGGGAUAAUCCACAGCUACACACUUGAAUGCAACUACAACACUGGACGCUCGGUCAACAGCAUCCCUGCUGCCUGCCAUGACAAUGGGCGUGCCAGCCCCCCUCCCCCUCCGGCUUUCCCUUCCAGAUACACUGUGGAGCUGUUUGAGCAGGUAGGACGAGCUAUGGCCAUCGCAGCUCUGGAUAUGGCAGAAUGUAAUCCAUGGCCCCGAAUUGUGCUGUCGGAACACAACAGCCUCACCAACCUACGAGCCUGGAUGCUGAAGCAUGUGCGCAACAGCAGAGGUCUGACCAGUGCUGUGAACAUGGGUGUGAGCAAGAAGCGAGGAUCUCGAACUCCUCCCAAAAGCAACAACAGCUUGCCUGUUUCCUGCUCUGAGAAUGCUUUGAGCCGGGCUCGAAGCAUUAGCACCGGGGCGAGCACUGGUGGUAGCGGCAGCAGCCAACAGAAUUCUCCACAGAUGAAGAACUCUCCCAGCUUUCCUUUUCAUGGCAGUCGGACUGCAGGGCUGCCAGGCCUGGGCUCUAGCACCCAAAAGGUCAGCCAUCGGGUGUUGGGGCCUGUCAGAGAGCCCCGAUGCUCAGACAGAAGGCGGCGGCAGCAGCCACUGAACCAUCGCCCUGUUACUAGCAGCCUGGCCCCAUCCCCAACUCUGCCUAGUCCUGGCCCAACCUCCUCACGAAACAUGGGCUCCUGCCUCCUGCCCAAUUCACUCAGUUUAUCAGGGAGCAGCUGCCCAUUCUCGUCUUCAGGGGACAAGCCAGAGGCUGUCAUGGUGAUUGGGAAAAGCCUACUAGGGGCUGGUGCUCGGAUUCCCUGCAUUAGGACUCGUUUGCAGACCUGCCAGAGGAGAGUUUCCGCCAGGAGGGGUCCCGGAUUCCCCAGGCUAGGCCCAGGUUGGGCCGGAGCUCACCGCCGACUCGCAGAGGGAUGAGAGGCUCAAGCGCCACAUCCCCCAUCCCCCAGACCAGAGAGAGCAGUGAGCUGGAGCCGGGACCCCGCUCUGCUACACCAGGGCUGCCUCAGGCCGGCCCCCCACGGCCCCGCUCUGCCCCCGCCUUUUCUCCUAUUUCCUGUACUCUAUCUGACUCCCCAUCCCGGAUUUGUUACAGCAGGGGGCUCUUGAACCAAUGUGAGGUUUGUUUUGUCCCUAAGUCUCCACCACUCACUAUUUCUCCCAGGGUCUGAUAAUGCCUUUACCUCCGUGUCCAGCAUAUAGCCCUAAGGUGAGGGAACACAGUGAAAUGACACGUUAGUCCGUCUUCCAGCUGCUGGUACCAUGUGACAACCAUAGCUCCUUGGAAUGUCGGCCACACUGUCCGAGGCCUUGCAGAACAUCACCUUGAGACAGAACAAAACAGGGACCUGCUUCCCCCUUCCCUCCCUCCACAGCACAAGAUUUUGGGACCACAAAAUAUAUAUAUAUAUAAUCUAUAUUUUUGUAUGGGGGGGAGGGAGUAGAGAAGAAAGCAGCCCUAUCCUGGGCCCUAUUCAGUGGCAGCUGCUUGCUCCAUAGGGUUAAGGAAGGCUUUGAGGAAAUAAAAGUUGUUUGCAAAAA